ACGCUGGCGGCGUGCCUAAUACAUGCAAGUCGAACGAACUCUGGUAUUGAUUGGUGCUUGCAUCAUGAUUUACAUUUGAGUGAGUGGCGAACUGGUGAGUAACACGUGGGAAACCUGCCCAGAAGCGGGGGAUAACACCUGGAAACAGAUGCUAAUACCGCAUAACAACUUGGACCGCAUGGUCCGAGUUUGAAAGAUGGCUUCGGCUAUCACUUUUGGAUGGUCCCGCGGCGUAUUAGCUAGAUGGUGGGGUAACGGCUCACCAUGGCAAUGAUACGUAGCCGACCUGAGAGGGUAAUCGGCCACAUUGGGACUGAGACACGGCCCAAACUCCUACGGGAGGCAGCAGUAGGGAAUCUUCCACAAUGGACGAAAGUCUGAUGGAGCAACGCCGCGUGAGUGAAGAAGGGUUUCGGCUCGUAAAACUCUGUUGUUAAAGAAGAACAUAUCUGAGAGUAACUGUUCAGGUAUUGACGGUAUUUAACCAGAAAGCCACGGCUAACUACGUGCCAGCAGCCGCGGUAAUACGUAGGUGGCAAGCGUUGUCCGGAUUUAUUGGGCGUAAAGCGAGCGCAGGCGGUUUUUUAAGUCUGAUGUGAAAGCCUUCGGCUCAACCGAAGAAGUGCAUCGGAAACUGGGAAACUUGAGUGCAGAAGAGGACAGUGGAACUCCAUGUGUAGCGGUGAAAUGCGUAGAUAUAUGGAAGAACACCAGUGGCGAAGGCGGCUGUCUGGUCUGUAACUGACGCUGAGGCUCGAAAGUAUGGGUAGCAAACAGGAUUAGAUACCCUGGUAGUCCAUACCGUAAACGAUGAAUGCUAAGUGUUGGAGGGUUUCCGCCCUUCAGUGCUGCAGCUAACGCAUUAAGCAUUCCGCCUGGGGAGUACGGCCGCAAGGCUGAAACUCAAAGGAAUUGACGGGGGCCCGCACAAGCGGUGGAGCAUGUGGUUUAAUUCGAAGCUACGCGAAGAACCUUACCAGGUCUUGACAUACUAUGCAAAUCUAAGAGAUUAGACGUUCCCUUCGGGGACAUGGAUACAGGUGGUGCAUGGUUGUCGUCAGCUCGUGUCGUGAGAUGUUGGGUUAAGUCCCGCAACGAGCGCAACCCUUAUUAUCAGUUGCCAGCAUUAAGUUGGGCACUCUGGUGAGACUGCCGGUGACAAACCGGAGGAAGGUGGGGAUGACGUCAAAUCAUCAUGCCCCUUAUGACCUGGGCUACACACGUGCUACAAUGGAUGGUACAACGAGUUGCGAACUCGCGAGAGUAAGCUAAUCUCUUAAAGCCAUUCUCAGUUCGGAUUGUAGGCUGCAACUCGCCUACAUGAAGUCGGAAUCGCUAGUAAUCGCGGAUCAGCAUGCCGCGGUGAAUACGUUCCCGGGCCUUGUACACACCGCCCGUCACACCAUGAGAGUUUGUAACACCCAAAGUCGGUGGGGUAACCUUUUAGGAACCAGCCGCCUAAGGUGGGACAGAUGAUUAGGGG
rnacentral:rRNA from 3 species